rnacentral:sRNA from 1 species
ACCACUGAGCUAAAUCCCCAGCCCCCUGUGAUGACCUCUUAAACUGGGAAAUAAGAAGGUGUCUUUGCUUCUUUGCAAUAGUCUCAGGGUCUCCGUCUGUCUACCUGUGGUAAUAACUGAGUGAUGACAUCACCAAGGAUUUUGCAUUCUUAAGACUGCAGGUAUUUUUCCAGACUGGGCUUUGCAGUAAACCUGCCUCAGGGCCUUACUGUAACACCCUUCACAGAUGAGCACCCUGAGGCCUAGGCAGGUCAAAGGCUACGACUCAAAAACAGGGCUCUGGCUCGCCCCUCUAUACUUAUGCCAGUCGCGUGGGGGAGUGUAGUUCUCAAAGCCAACCCUGGUUUGUGGCCUGGAGCUGGGGCACCCAAGCCACACACACCCUCUGGGCCCUGGCUGGGCCAGAUGUGUCCGCCAGAGGCCACCAGGGGGCGCUGCAAUGCCGGCGACUCCCGGGUGAGGUCCACGCCUGUUCCACGGACCCAGCCUCAGCUCCUGGAGCCGGCAACUUGAGGCGGACAGGGCAGAAGCUGGGAGAUCGCUUGGCCCCGGGCAGCGCAGACCUCAGCCGCAGCUCAAGCCCUGGUCCAGGCAGGCUUCUCGACGCUCGGGGAGUCGGGGUACUGAGCCUCGGAGUCAGGGGUGCUGCGCCCCGGGCAGACCUCCUUCCUCUUUUCCAGUCAUAGGCUCCGUAUGUGAACUCGUUUGCAUCUCUGCGGGCUUUAAAUGUUGCACAACUCCACGGAAGAAGAAACUCUGCCACAAGGCCCGUUCCUAUUGCAAAGCCCCAUGUCUUUGAGAUGUCUGUUUCUACUCCACCACUCUCGGCUGAGGCCAUGUGAAAGCUUAUGUGAGCACCUUGCAUCACAGGAUAAACACGAGGCUGCUCUCUGUCCCUUCAGGACGAAGGAGCGGUGGGGAAGUCACAGGACACUCACCUGAGGAUCCAUCCACUCCCACCACCCAGGUCCAGCAGCAGUGAGUGACCAGAAGCAGGCCAUUGCCAGGUAUCCUUGAAGGGCAGGGAGUCUGUCCAGCCACGCCCAGGAAAGCACGCCCGUCCUGGAGCAUGUUCGGGUGUGGCCUUGGAAGAUAUGCAACUGAGAGCAGAGGUCAGAACAGAACCAGAUCAGAAGGGCUUUGCUUGGCCAGGCCGUUUGGCUCUGCAGCACACCUGGAUCCCAUUCCUAGACUGUCCGGCUCUGAUUGGUGCCCACUGCAGGCUCCGCCUCCAGCUCUUUGGAUGAGAAAAUAUGGACGCCUGUGUUUUAAGAACUGAAACUGUGUAGCCUGGGACCUCGGCCCACUGGAGUUUGCUGCCACAUUUAAGGUGGUUCCUCCCAGCUCCGUUAAUUCCAUCUAGAGAGUACCUCACCCACACGGACAGGUUUGUCUCCCAGGUGAUUCUAGACCCUGUCAAACUGGCUGUAUUAAAGUGUCACGUGCUGGUUGCUGUAAGGACAGUCCCCAGAAGCUGCCUUCUCUAAGCACCCACAGUGCUGAGACUCUGGCCUUGACCGCUCAUACUUCAAGUUGGGCUGCAUUUCUGAGAGUUCUGCUACAGGGGCAUGGCUGUGCUCUCCCGGGGCAGGGGCCUCCCCAGGUUCAGAACCCUUGAAUCACCACUAUCUAUCUCCCUCUGCCCUUUUCCCUCCUUCCUGGCCCCCUCUCUUAAAAACCUUACUGUGCGGCAUGGAGAACCCCAGCAGGAGCUCCUGCAGGGAGAGAGAAGGCACACUGGUGAGGAAGCUUGCUUCUUUCUCAGCUGUAGCUGGGGCCAAGCCUACAGCCUCUUGUCAGUAAGUACACCCAGGGCUGCAGAGAAAGGCCCCAUCAUUGGGAAAGAGAAGGGGCUUUCAAGUCUUUCACUUUCCUGUCUGUCAUUGUUCUUAAAGUUUCAGGGUAAAACUAGGGCCUAAUGCAGCCACGAAACACCCGAGCUGUUCAAGGCAGGCCUUGUGCAAAACGCUGCAGGAUUUCGGACAGGAAGUUGUGUGGCUGUGUGGGCGUGAGGACCAGCUUCCUCCCUCUCUGACACUUUCUACGCUUUGGGGACCUUGCUCAGCAGUCUCCCCUCCCCCAAGCCCAGCAGACCCUCCUGAGGCCUCACACAGCCUCUGCCCCAGCAAGAGUGAAAACAGCAGGGUGAAUCCCAUCCUCUCUCAUCCCUGUCCCUCAUCUCCCCUAGACACGUGACCAUUUCUGACACCACACAGGACUUUCACUUCUUCAGAGUAGAAGCACUUGUAGAGUGUCUGGUUUUCGGAAUACUUGUCCUACCCUGCUUUCUCAGAGGAGGCUUGAUCUUGUUAUCCUUGUCUGGGUUCCUUGCCUCUGAAAGCAUAGUUUCUAGGUAACAAGCAGGGGCGGUCUGUAUACCCUGUAGCUACGGAGGGAGUCUCAGGAGUUCAGAAGCUAAUUUGAAUAGAGUUAUUGAUAGUGGAUAGAGCAAUUUGCAUACUGGAACUAAGUGGGUGGCUCUAGGAUGUUUAGGAAAUGACCCACAGAGUCUGUAGAUUCUGGGGCUCCAAAUCCAUUUCUCACAGAUGGGCUACCCUUAACUGCAGUCCCUGCCAACAUUCUGCUACAAGAACAUGUCAGAUUCAGAUUCCAGUAGCAGGAGCCUGCCCUGAUCAGCUGCUGGGAAGGCACUGUGGCCCAACUUGAAGAACUCUUGAAUUAGUGCCUCCCUCUCCUGGAACCUGAGAGCCUUGAUCUACAAACUGAAGGGCAGAAGGCAUGACUUUAACGCUUCACGGACUUAAAAUGCUGUAUCCUGUGAUUCUCCCAGCAGACGUAAACCUUGUCAUCUAACAGCAGCCUUCUUCAGCCUCAGAAAGGAACUGUGCAAUUUUAGCCCUUGCAUGUUAAGAGACCAGGAGGAGGGGUGCCUUCCAAGGCAGAGGGGCUUGCAGAGUAGCCAAUAUCAAGCCCUUCGUCCAGGAAGGGCUACAGUCUAUUCUCUUUCUU